CCCCCGCCGUCAAAUCUGCCGCGGGACGCGCCGGCGCCAAGCUCCACCGCUUGCCGGGGCCGACGUCGGCCGCCGCCGCCCCCUGUGGCCGAGAGAGAGCAGAGAGAGGAGGGAGAGAGAUGGAGAGGAGACAGCUAAGAACAGGAAAAAAGUAAAUGUAAAAGUUUUGGUAGGAUCCACGCGAAGCCGUGUGUGCAUUUUGGAGCAUGUAUACUAUCUGUGGCUUAGUACUACGUAGUAUCUCUUUUUUGUCCGAGACUCCUACAUAGAGCUUCUUUUCUAUCCGAGACUUUUACGUAGGGCUUCUUUUUUAUCCGAUUCCUACAUAGAGC
rnacentral:lncRNA from 1 species